GGCGGCGUGCCUAAUACAUGCAAGUCGAGCGAAGUUUUUCUGGUGUUUGCACUAGAAAAACUUAGCGGCGAACGGGUGAGUAACACGUAAAGAACCUGCCUCAUAGACUGGGACAACUAUUGGAAACGAUAGCUAAUACCGGAUAACAGUAUUUCUCGCAUGGGAGAUAUUUAAAAGUUGGUUAUGCUAACACUAUGAGAUGGCUUUGCGGUGCAUUAGCUAGUUGGUGGGGUAAAGGCCUACCAAGGCGACGAUGCAUAGCCGACCUGAGAGGGUGAUCGGCCACACUGGGACUGAGACACGGCCCAGACUCCUACGGGAGGCAGCAGUAGGGAAUCUUCCGCAAUGGGCGAAAGCCUGACGGAGCAACGCCGCGUGAGUGAAGAAGGAUUUCGGUUCGUAAAGCUCUGUUGUUAGGGAAGAAUGGAUAUGUAGUAA
rnacentral:rRNA from 1 species